CAUAGGUUAAUGAGGCGAACCGGGGGAACUGAAACAUCUAAGUACCCCGAGGAAAAGAAAUCAACCGAGAUUCCCCCAGUAGCGGCGAGCGAACGGGGAGGAGCCCAGAGCCUGAAUCAGUGUGUGUGUUAGUGGAAGCGUCUGGAAAGGCGCGCGAUACAGGGUGACAGCCCCGUACACAAAAAUGCACAUAUUGUGAGCUCGAUGAGUAGGGCGGGACACGUGGUAUCCUGUCUGAAUAUGGGGGGACCAUCCUCCAAGGCUAAAUACUCCUGACUGACCGAUAGUGAACCAGUACCGUGAGGGAAAGGCGAAAAGAACCCCGGCGAGGGGAGUGAAAAAGAACCUGAAACCGUGUACGUACAAGCAGUGGGAGCCUCUUUAUGGGGUGACUGCGUACCUUUUGUAUAAUGGGUCAGCGACUUAUAUUCUGUAGCAAGGUUAACCGAAUAGGGGAGCCGAAGGGAAACCGAGUCUUAACUGGGCGUUAAGUUGCAGGGUAUAGACCCGAAACCCGGUGAUCUAGCCAUGGGCAGGUUGAAGGUUGGGUAACACUAACUGGAGGACCGAACCGACUAAUGUUGAAAAAUUAGCGGAUGACUUGUGGCUGGGGGUGAAAGGCCAAUCAAACCGGGAGAUAGCUGGUUCUCCCCGAAAGCUAUUUAGGUAGCGCCUCGUGAAUUCAUCUCCGGGGGUAGAGCACUGUUUCGGCAAGGGGGUCAUCCCGACUUACCAACCCGAUGCAAACUGCGAAUACCGGAGAAUGUUAUCACGGGAGACACACGGCGGGUGCUAACGUCCGUCGUGAAGAGGGAAACAACCCAGACCGCCAGCUAAGGUCCCAAAGUCAUGGUUAAGUGGGAAACGAUGUGGGAAGGCCCAGACAGCCAGGAUGUUGGCUUAGAAGCAGCCAUCAUUUAAAGAAAGCGUAAUAGCUCACUGGUCGAGUCGGCCUGCGCGGAAGAUGUAACGGGGCUAAACCAUGCACCGAAGCUGCGGCAGCGACACUAUGUGUUGUUGGGUAGGGGAGCGUUCUGUAAGCCUGUGAAGGUGGCCUGUGAGGGUUGCUGGAGGUAUCAGAAGUGCGAAUGCUGACAUAAGUAACGAUAAAGCGGGUGAAAAGCCCGCUCGCCGGAAGACCAAGGGUUCCUGUCCAACGUUAAUCGGGGCAGGGUGAGUCGACCCCUAAGGCGAGGCCGAAAGGCGUAGUCGAUGGGAAACAGGUUAAUAUUCCUGUACUUGGUGUUACUGCGAAGGGGGGACGGAGAAGGCUAUGUUGGCCGGGCGACGGUUGUCCCGGUUUAAGCGUGUAGGCUGGUUUUCCAGGCAAAUCCGGAAAACCAAGGCUGAGGCGUGAUGACGAGGCACUACGGUGCUGAAGCGACAAAUGCCCUGCUUCCAGGAAAAGCCUCUAAGCAUCAGGUAACAUCAAAUCGUACCCCAAACCGACACAGGUGGUCAGGUAGAGAAUACCAAGGCGCUUGAGAGAACUCGGGUGAAGGAACUAGGCAAAAUGGUGCCGUAACUUCGGGAGAAGGCACGCUGAUAUGUAGGUGAAGCGACUUGCUCGUGGAGCUGAAAUCAGUCGAAGAUACCAGCUGGCUGCAACUGUUUAUUAAAAACACAGCACUGUGCAAACACGAAAGUGGACGUAUACGGUGUGACGCCUGCCCGGUGCCGGAAGGUUAAUUGAUGGGGUUAGCGGUAACGCGAAGCUCUUGAUCGAAGCCCCGGUAAACGGCGGCCGUAACUAUAACGGUCCUAAGGUAGCGAAAUUCCUUGUCGGGUAAGUUCCGACCUGCACGAAUGGCGUAAUGAUGGCCAGGCUGUCUCCACCCGAGACUCAGUGAAAUUGAACUCGCUGUGAAGAUGCAGUGUACCCGCGGCAAGACGGAAAGACCCCGUGAACCUUUACUAUAGCUUGACACUGAACAUUGAGCCUUGAUGUGUAGGAUAGGUGGGAGGCUUUGAAGUGUGGACGCCAGUCUGCAUGGAGCCGACCUUGAAAUACCACCCUUUAAUGUUUGAUGUUCUAACGUUGGCCCGUAAUCCGGGUUGCGGACAGUGUCUGGUGGGUAGUUUGACUGGGGCGGUCUCCUCCUAAAGAGUAACGGAGGAGCACGAAGGUUGGCUAAUCCUGGUCGGACAUCAGGAGGUUAGUGCAAUGGCAUAAGCCAGCUUGACUGCGAGCGUGACGGCGCGAGCAGGUGCGAAAGCAGGUCAUAGUGAUCCGGUGGUUCUGAAUGGAAGGGCCAUCGCUCAACGGAUAAAAGGUACUCCGGGGAUAACAGGCUGAUACCGCCCAAGAGUUCAUAUCGACGGCGGUGUUUGGCACCUCGAUGUCGGCUCAUCACAUCCUGGGGCUGAAGUAGGUCCCAAGGGUAUGGCUGUUCGCCAUUUAAAGUGGUACGCGAGCUGGGUUUAGAACGUCGUGAGACAGUUCGGUCCCUAUCUGCCGUGGGCGCUGGAGAACUGAGGGGGGCUGCUCCUAGUACGAGAGGACCGGAGUGGACGCAUCACUGGUGUUCGGGUUGUCAUGCCAAUGGCACUGCCCGGUAGCUAAAUGCGGAAGAGAUAAGUGCUGAAAGCAUCUAAGCACGAAACUUGCCCCGAGAUGAGUUCUCCCUGAGACUUAGAGUCUCCUGAAGGAACGUUGAAGACGACGACGUUGAUAGGCCGGGUGUGUAAGCGCAGCGAUGCGUUGAGCUAACCGGUACUAAUGAACC
rnacentral:rRNA from 1 species